rnacentral:rRNA from 1 species
UGGCUCAGAACGAACGCUGGCGGCGCGUUUAAGCAUGCAAGUCGAGCGGCAAGGGCCUUCGGGCCCCUAGAGCGGCGGACGGGUGAGUAACACGUGGACAAUCUGCCCCCCGGACCGGGAUAGCCCAGGGAAACCUGGAUUAAUACCGGAUGAGACGGGACCUGCGAUGGCGGGAUCCGGGAAAGGCGCUACGGCGCCGCCGGGGGAUGAGUCUGCGUCCCAUUAGCUAGACGGCGGGGUAACGGCCCACCGUGGCGACGAUGGGUAGCCGGCCUGAGAGGGUGGACGGCCACAUUGGAACUGAGACACGGUCCAGACUCCUACGGGAGGCAGCAGCUAAGAAUCUUCCGCAAUGGGCGAAAGCCUGACGGAACGAACCGCCGCGUGAACGAAGAAGGCCGUGAGGUUGUAAAGUUCUUUUCGGGAGGGGGAACAACCGUGGCAGGGAAUGGCCGCGGGAUGACGUGAAUCCCGGAAUAAGCCCCGGCUAACUACGUGCCAGCCGCUGC